rnacentral:rRNA from 1 species
CAGUAGCCGCGGUAAUCCGUAGGUGGCAAGCGUUGUCCGGAAUGAUUGGGCGUAAAGCGUCUGUAGGUGGCUUUUCAAGUCCGCCGUCAAAUCCCAGGGCUCAACCCUGGACAGGCGGUGGAGACUACCAAGCUGGAGUACGGUAGGGGCAGAGGGAAUUUCCGGUGGAGCGGUGAAAUGCGUUGAGAUCGGAAAGAACACCAAUGGCGGAAGCACUCUGCUGGGCCGACACUGACACUGAGAGACGAAAGCUAGGGGAGCAAAUGGGAUUAGAUACCCGUGUAGUCCCUGUCUCUUAUAC